rnacentral:misc_RNA from 1 species
AUCUUUUUCCAUCCUCUUAGAUUGAAAUGAUUGGUUGCAUAAGAAUAAAGUUUCACUUAUAAUGACUUGAUUGUAUAAAAAGAGCUUCUAGAAUGUUCAUAAAGAUAUUGUGUAAGAGCCCGUUUUAAAGUUACUUUUAACUUUGCCAAACAUUCCCCAAAAGCUAAAUGACUUAAAAGUAGGUUAAACCAACUUUUAAGCCAAUCUAAACAGGCUCUAAGUAUCUCCACGAAGUUAUCAAAGA